CGGGGGGAGCAAGCGUUGUUCGGAUUUACUGGGCGUAAAGGGCGGGUAGGCGGCCACUGCAAGUCGGUUGUGAAAUCUCCGGGCUUAACUCGGAAAGGUCAAUCGAUACUGCAGGGCUAGAGUGCAGAAGGGGCAACUGGAAUUCUCGGUGUAGCGGUGAAAUGCGUAGAUAUCGAGAGGAACACCUGCGGCGAAGGCGGGUUGCUGGGCUGACACUGACGCUGAACUGCGAAAGCUAGGGGAGCGAACGGGAUUAGAUACCCCGGUAGUCCUAGCCUUAAACGAUGAAUGCUUGGUGUCUGGGGUUUUAUAGUCCCCGGGUGCCGUCGCUAACGCUUUAAGCAUUCCGCCUGGGGAGUACGGUCGCAAGACUG
rnacentral:rRNA from 1 species